AUUGAACGUUGGCGGCAGGCCUAACACAUGCAAGUCGAACGAGUGGCGGACGGGUGAGUAAUGUCUGGGAAACUGCCCGAUGGAGGGGGAUAACUACUGGAAACGGUAGCUAAUACCGCAUACCAUCGGAUGUGCCCAGAUGGGAUUAGCUAGUAGGUGGGGUAACGGCUCACCUAGGCGACGAUCCCUAGCUGGUCUGAGAGGAUGACCAGCCACACUGGAACUGAUAUACGGUCCAGACUCCUACGGGAGGCAGCAUUGGGGAAUAUUGCACAAUGGGCGCAAGCCUGAUGCAGCCAUGCCGCGUGUAUGAAGAAGGCCUUCGGGUUGUAAAGUACUUUCAGCGGGGAGGCGUUACCCUCAGAAGAAGCACCGGCUAACUCCGUGCCAGCAGCCGCGGUAAUAC
rnacentral:rRNA from 1 species